rnacentral:rRNA from 1 species
UGGGGAAUAUUGGACAAUGGGCGCAAGCCUGAUCCAGCCAUACCGCGUGCAGGAUGAAGGCCCUCGGGUUGUAAACUGCUUUUGUACGGAACGAAACGGUCCGAGCUAAUACCUCGGGCUAAUGACGGUACCGUAAGAAUAAGCACCGGCUAACUACGUGCCAGCAGCCGCGGUAAUACGUAGGGUGCAAGCGUUAAUCGGAAUUACUGGGCGUAAAGCGUGCGCAGGCGGUUAUGUAAGACAGGUGUGAAAUCCCCGGGCUUAACCUGGGAACUGCAUUUGUGACUGCAUAGCUAGAGUACGGUAGAGGGGGAUGGAAUUCCGCGUGUAGCAGUGAAAUGCGUAGAUAUGCGGAGGAACACCGAUGGCGAAGGCAGCCCCCUGGGUCAAGAUUGACGCUCAUGCACGAAAGCGUGGGGAGCAAACAGGAUUAGAUACCCACGUAGUCCCUGAGCGGGCUGGCAAGGCGCAU